UACGUAGGGUGCUAGCGUUGUCCGGAUUUAUUGGGCGUAAAGGGCUCGUAGGCGGCGUGUCGCGUCGGGAGUGAAAGCCCGCUGCUUAACGGCGGGUUGGCUUCCGGUACGGGCAUCGCUGGAGUGCGGCAGGGGAGACUGGAAUUCCGUGGUGUAGCGGUGGAAUGCGCAGAUAGUCAGGAGGAACACCGGUGGCGAAGGCGGGUCUCUGGGCAGUAACUGACGCUGGAGGAGCGAAAGCGUGGGGAGCGAACAGG
rnacentral:rRNA from 1 species